GUGCUCAAUUUAUCGUCUUUUUUUAAUAUCAAGAAAAAGAUAUCUUUGAUGUGCUAAACAUGUUUGUGAAAAUAAAUUAGCAGCAUUAUUAUAAUUUAGCUAUUGCUGUCCGUUACCUCCAGGUGAAG
rnacentral:snoRNA from 1 species